rnacentral:rRNA from 1 species
CAGGGCUGAACCAGCCAAGUCGCGUGAGGGAUGACGGUCCUAUGGAUUGUAAACCUCUUUUGUCAGGGAGCAAAGGGCGCCACGUGUGGCGCUUUGCGAGUACCUGAAGAAAAAGCAUCGGCUAACUCCGUGCCAGCAGCCGCGGUAAUACGGAGGAUGCGAGCGUUAUCCGGAUUUAUUGGGUUUAAAGGGUGCGCAGGCGGAAUGUCAAGUCAGCGGUAAAAUUUCGGGGCUCAACCCCGUCGUGCCGUUGAAACUGGCGUUCUUGAGUGAGCGAGAAGUAUGCGGAAUGCGUGGUGUAGCGGUGAAAUGCAUAGAUAUCACGCAGAACUCCGAUUGCGAAGGCAGCAUACCGGCGCUCAACUGACGCUCAUGCACGAAAGCGUGGGUAUCGAACAGGAUUAGAUACCCUGGUAGUCCACGCAGUAAACGAUGAAUACUAACUGUCCGGGCAGAAUGAUGCCUGG